UGUAAAAUAAACCGCACCCGACGGAUUCGAUAAAUUACAAGUUAAAUAAUUGUGGCGAAUGCUAUAAAUAACACUGUGGACUAGACAUUACAGUACAGUUAAACACGUAUAGCGAAGCAAAACCGAUCUAAUGGAAUAAAUAACCGUAAUCUCUAGAAUACAACAAAUUUGAAAAAAGUUUACGAGAAAUAUUUAAAAAAGUUUCAAAAACUACAAUUUGAAAAUUUCAAGAAAACUUUAAGAGUAAAAGAGCCGUAGCAUGGAUUCAAACGCUUGUAGGUUGAAGCAGCCUUCUGAACAUUAUAAGCCUUAUGGAAGAGCACGUAUGGAAAUAAAGAACAAAAAGGCUUUGAAAGAAGAUAAAAAAUUAUGUAAUUUGGUGAAGCAGCAUCCGCAGCUGUACGACAAAGAACACAAGGGUUAUGGUCAGAAAAAGACUACAGACGAGGCAUGGCACACGAUUGCGGAAUCGUUGGGGAAGUCAGGUUGCUUUGAAGUGGUUUUGACUCUUUCAUAGGAUUUGUAUACCCAGAAGUGGGUAUAUUGAGUUUGGCAUGAAGUUUGUAGCACCCAAAGGAAAGCGUGGGAGACCCUAUAAAUAUAUUUAGUAUAUAAGUAAUAAGCGUGACGAGCUGAGUCGUUCAAGCUAUGCGCGUCUGACUAUUCGUCUGUCAGUAUAUACGCGAGCUAAUCGUUCAGUUCUUCAGAUAUCGUUCUGAAAUUGUGCAUACGUCCUUUAAUCUUUAAGAAGCUGCCAAUUUGUCGGCACCACUGAUAUCGGAUCACUAUAGUAUAAAGAUAACUGCCAUACAAGCCGAACGAUCGGAAUCAAGUGAAUGUAUGGAGAGCUUCAAGAUCGAUCAAAAUCAAGUGUUUUGUCUCAAUGCAAAGCUCGUUGGGAAACACAGCGUUCUGAGUACAUCGCCUACCUAUGUUCCCUUGAUGCCGAUAAGGAACAGCGUAGACUUAGUCGUUCAUUUAAAAAAAUCAUUCA
rnacentral:misc_RNA from 1 species